UGUGCAGCAGUCGGGAAUAUUGGGCAAUGGGCGAAAGCCUGACCCAGCAACGCCGCGUGUGUGAUGAAGGCCUUCGGGUCGUAAAACACUUUUCUGAGGGAUGAGCAAGGACAGUACCUCAGGAAUAAGUCUCGGCUAACUACGUGCCAGCAGCCGCGGUAAAACGUAGGAGACGAGCGUUAUCCGGAUUUACUGGGCGUAAAGCGUGUGCAGGCGGUUCGGCAAGUUGGAUGUGAAAUCUCCCGGCUCAACUGGGAGGGGUCGUUCAAAACUACCGAACUUGAGGACAUCAGAGGAAGGUGGAAUUCCGGGUGUAGUGGUGAAAUGCGUAGAUAUCCGGAGGAACACCAGUGGCGAAGGCGGCCUUCUGGGAUGUUUCUGACGCUCAUACACGAAAGCUAGGGGAGCGAACGGGAUUAGAUACCCCGGU
rnacentral:rRNA from 1 species